AAGUUUGACAUUCGACCAUACCUUGUGUUGACGUUCAUUGGAGAAUAUAGGAAAUUCUUCCAAGAGCGAAAGUUUGCGACCAGAGCGAAACCAGGGCUGCAAUUCGCUCAAGGUGGGAUUUCCUAUUUCUCCCCGAGGUGAACACAACGUUUGCGUUUUGCGAAAAUCC